GGCCCCUUCGUCUAGCUUGGCCUAGGACGCAGCCCUCUCAAGGCUGAAACACGGGUUCGAAUCCCGUAGGGGCUACCA
rnacentral:tRNA from 1 species